rnacentral:lncRNA from 1 species
GUGAAUCCAAAAGUCAGAGGUUAUCUUAGUUCAGCCUACUAUGGCAAAAUAGCAUAAACAAUAGAAAUUUAUUUCUCACAGUUCCUAGAGGCUGGAAGUCCAAGGUCAGAAGUGCCAGCAGAUUCAGUGCCUGCUGAGAGCCUGCUCCCUGGUCCAUGCAUUCUGGACACACUUCUAGCUGUGCCCUUGAAAGUAAAAAGGGCAAGACAUCUUUCUGGGGCCUCUUGUAAGGACACUAAUCCUGUUCAAGAGGGCUCCACUUUCACGAUCUAAUCACUUCUUAAAGGCCCAUCUCCUGAUAGAGUGGUAAUCAGGUUUCAACAUACAAAUUUUGGAGGACACAAACACCCAGACUAUCAGAGAGGGCAUGGAAUAGUUUCCACAGACCAAUGCUGAAAUUUUUUGCAAAGAAGCAAAAGUGAAUUCUCAAAAUCUCAAAGGAAAAAAAAACUUCAGUGGAAAUUCCUCAUUUCAACCAUGUAUUUUUCUCAAACUACCAGUAACGAUAGCUAGGCCUAAACUACAUCUGGAGGUCAUUGCUUUGUUCUUAAAAAUUUACAACCAUCAGUCAAAAUUUAAACAUAUAUUAAAUGAAGGGCUGCCCUAUUCCUAGUUCAGUUCAUUUCCCUUAAAUGAACAUAAAAGCAGUCAGGCAUAGUGGCACACACCUGUAAUACCAGCUACUUACAAGGCUGGGUAGUAAGCUAGUGUGGGGUACUCUAACCUCAAAAUUAUAUGAUGAUCGUCUUCCUGGAGCAUCCCAAUCUGCGUGCCACACUAGAAACAGACUGCAGAGAUAUUGGAACACAGGAAGACCAUGUCUACAGGAGGGAUCCCAGGCUGAGGUAAUGGGAGGCCAAACUGAAAUGAACAGGAUUCAAGACAGCUAAGAAAUCAGAUCUGGGAGCUAAGUUCAGACAAAAGCAGCAUACAAAGAAAAAGAGUAGUUGUUUCAAUUCUUCACUGAAUCAUGCCUUUCUAGGUGGUUAGUUUGGUUUAGAUUGUGUUAUUUAUUAUCUUGCUAUGAAAUGCCAUCUAAUAAAUAUUUUAUUUGUAGUAGUAGUAGUAGUAUUUUUUGAGAUGUGGAAGCCAUAAUGAAGUUAUAUUUUCUGCUGGUAAAAUUGUUCCUAGCUUGUAUAAUUUUAUGCUAGAACUAAAUACAUCAGUAAUUCAUGGUGCUCUGUCUGUAAAGGGCAUCAAGGCUUCCAAGAAUUUGGUCAAUUUAAGUUUGAACACACUACUGUUGAGGAAAACACUGUAAAGACACACAAUAAGCUAACUGGAAAAACAUUCCAAUUCAAUUCAGUGCUAUCGUAAAGAGUAAACAACUUUACCAUAGCUACGUUAUGUCUUCCCAGCUUUUUUAUGUUAGGGUAUUCUUUGUCAAGUUCAUAUGUGUAUAUGUGAUGUGGAGCAUCAUGUGUUUUUCUAAUUAUGGUUGAUAACUCAGUAAAUUUGAAAGUUUUUUUGUAUUGCAGUUGUUGCUUUUUUCUUGAAUUAUGUGGACAGAAAUAUAACAUUGUGAGAAAAUUAAGCCCUAUUAUGAUGACCUAUAUAUUAGCUUACUUAAAUUUUCACACUUAAGGAGCAAAUCAUGACUAGUACAGGAUCUGGAGUCCUACAGAAAGAAUUUCUCUUUGUUUUAUUUGUUUGUUUGGCUUUGCUUUUCAAAAUAUUGUGAAUGCCAAUUUGUACUAUCAGUGUAUAUAAGUACAUCUGUUAGUUCCAUAAAUAGCUGGAAGUACUUUUAUUCUUGUGUCCAAUUGUAAAUGUAAACUUUGACUUUAAAAAACAAAUAAGCAAACCUCAAAAUUUUGUUUAAGUUACCAUUUGUAGACAUAGGUGGUGGUCUGUACUUUUAGGAAAAAUGUUAUCUCAUUUUAUAAUAUUAAUUUUUAAAUAUUUAAUGUUUAAAUUUGUUUUGUAAAUAUUAAUUUUCAUUUAAACUUUAUGCAUAUUUGAACCCAUGAUCUUUGACAUUUCUCUAAAGAAUCAGUGAUGUGAGAAAAAACCACCAGAGAAUAUAUUCAAAUAAAAU